GGCCUCCCAGUGCUUACCACAGGCUGUGUUCUUACACUGCCUGUAUAGAAAGAGGAGACAGAGUAAAGCUACCCAGUGUACACCCCAGCCUAGGCCCUGUGCCUGGUCUGUAUUGUGAAUGGGGAACAUGG
rnacentral:snoRNA from 1 species